CCAAUACAGCCUGUAGAGAGCACCACAUGUAGCACAACUGCCUCGUUUUCCUCCUGGCUGGGACCAGAGUGCAACAGAGCAGCUGGUCUAUCAACGCGGGUCUGUGUCAAUGCAUAUCCUAAAGGCUAAGCUAACAUCAGGGGGCAAAAAAUAAACCGAGACGGGACAAUCGGGGCUUGAGUCUGCGUCGUCUGAGUGCACUGUCUUGUUUGAUGUCUGCUCGUGUCACACAUAUUCCACUGAGGCUUCGCACCAGAGCAGGUUUUGGGGCAAAGCAAGGAGAGAGAGAUGCAAGAGGCUUGAGAACAGGGACACAUUUUGUGAACACAGAUGAAGAUGUGUCCCUGGUAACCACACAUGUGCCAGCAGGCCUCUGCUACUCAGUGAGCGCCAGUGAAUGGACACAAAGCUUCUCUUGGGGUGUUGCACUCGUAAACCCGUCAGUCCUGCCUCUAAGAUCAGCGAACAUGCCUCCUGUUUCAAAAAAUCUUACCUUCCAGCAGGUCUCUUGCCAGACCCGGUUCUGCCCCCGUGGACCGAACAAAGUCUGACAGGACCGCGUCCAUGUCCAGAGUCAUGUGAUCAUGUGUGUGUGCUGCCCACGG